rnacentral:tRNA from 1 species
ACCUCUGUAGCAAAAUGGUAAUGCCGGGGACCUAAGCUCCCCUACAAGGAGUUCGAUUCUUCUCCGAGGUU